UGGGGAAUUUUGGACAGUGGGGGCAACCCUGAUCCAGCAAUGCCGCGUGAGUGAAGAAGGCCUUCGGGUUGUAAAGCUCUUUUGUCCGGGAAGAAAUCCCAUCCCUGAAUACGGGAUGGGGAUGACGGUACUGGAAGAAUAAGCACCGGCUAACUACGUGCCAGCAGCCGCGGUAAUACGUAGGGUGCAAGCGUUAAUCGGAAUUACUGGGCGUAAAGCGUGCGCAGGCGGUUGUGCAAGACCGAUGUGAAAUCCCCGGGCUUAACCUGGGAACUGCAUUGGUGACUGCACGGCUAGAGUGUGUCAGAGGGGGGUAGAAUUCCACGUGUAGCAGUGAAAUGCGUAGAGAUGUGGAGGAAUACCGAUGGCGAAGGCAGCCCCCUGGGAUAACACUGACGCUCAUGCACGAAAGCGUGGGGAGCAAACAGGAUUAGAUACCCUGGUAGUCCACGCCCUAAACGAUGUCAACUAGUUGUCGGGGAUUAAUUUCCUUGGUAACGCAGCUAACGCGUGAAGUUGACC
rnacentral:rRNA from 1 species